AUUGUACUGAAAUUAUUACCAGAUCUUCAAUCAACCUCCCAUCAUGAAAUUUUUCCUGAUUUUGUUGUUGGCUUCUGUUGUAGUGGUAUCUAAUGCUGCUCCCAAACCGGUCUAUACAACUGGGAAAACUACAUCCUAUACAACUGGUCAUUCAAUGUAUCCUGGAGCAGCAACUAGCAGUGUAACUUCCAUUCAAUCUGGUCAUGGAGUGAUGCCUGGAAUGGGUGCUAUGGGUUCAAUGCAUGGGGCUUCUAUGAUGCAUGGGGCUCAUAUGAGUGGAUACGGAAAAAAAUAAAGGAAGAAUCAAAAAUGAUGAUCCACCAACUCCGAGACGCACCACUCUUGGAUUUGAUUAAAUUGAAUGGAUUAUUGUUUAAUUUCAAAAUAAAUUGUUGCAAG
rnacentral:lncRNA from 1 species